rnacentral:rRNA from 1 species
ACGAACGCUGGCGGCGUGGAUAAGGCAUGCAAGUCGAACGGUCCGGCAUUCUGAUUUAGUAGCAAUACUAAAAAGGUACGCCGGAUAGUGGCAGACGAGGUAGUAAUACUUAGGUACGCACCCCGAAGUCGGGCACAACUCCGCGAAAGCGGGGCUAAUUCCCGAUAUAGUGGCAACACGAAAGGAGCAAUUCGCUUUGGGAGCGGCCUACGGGCUAUCAGCUAGUUGGCAGGGUAACGGCCUACCAAGGCUAUGACGGCUAGGGGGUGUGAGAGCAUGGCCCCCACCGAUGGAACUGAGACACGGUCCAUACACCUACGGGUGGCAGCAGUCGAGAAUAUUCGACAAUGGGCGAAAGCCUGAUCGAGCGACGCCGCGUGCAGGAUGAAAUCCUUCGGGAUGUAAACUGCUUUUAGCAGGGAAGAAUACAUUGACGGUACCUGCAGAAUAAGGGCCUGCAAACCUCGU